UCCGGUUUGGCACCGGCAGUCUUCCUAGAGUCCCCACCAUGACGUGCUGGCAACAUAGGACGAGGGUUGCGCUCGUUGCGGGACUUAACCCAACAUCUCACGACACGAGCUGACGACAACCAUGCACCACCUGUGCACGGACUCCGAAGAGGAACCGAUGUUUCCACCGGCUUUCCCGUGCAUGUCAAGCCCAGGUAAGGUUCUUCGCGUUGCUUCGAAUUAAACCACAUGCUCCACCGCUUGUGCGGGCCCCCGUCAAUUCCUUUGAGUUUCAGCCUUGCGGCCGUACUCCCCAGGCGGGGCACUUACUGCGUUAGCGACGGCACCGGGAGGGUCGCUCCCCCCGACGCCUAGUGCCCAUCGUUUACGGCGUGGACUAC
rnacentral:misc_RNA from 1 species